UACAGAGGUCUCAAGCGUUGUUCGGAUUCAUUGGGCGUAAAGGGUGCGUAGGUGGCGCCGUAAGUCGGGUGUGAAAUUUCGGAGCUUAACUCCGAAACUGCAUUCGAUACUGCGAUGCUUGAGGACUGGAGAGGAGACUGGAAUUCAUGGUGUAGCAGUGAAAUGCGUAGAGAUCAUGAGGAAGACCAGUGGCGAAGGCGGGUCUCUGGACAGUUCCUGACACUGAGGCACGAAGGCCAGGGGAGCAAACGGG
rnacentral:rRNA from 1 species